ACGAACGCUGGCGGCGUGCUUAACACAUGCAAGUCGAGCGGUAAGGCCCUUUCGGGGGGUACACGAGCGGCGAACGGGUGAGUAACACGUGGGUGACCUGCCCUCAGCUCUGGGAUAAGCCUGGGAAACUGGGUCUAAUACCGGAUAUGACUCCAUGACGCAUGUUGUGGGGUGGAAAGCCUUGUGCGGCUGAGGAUGGGCCCGCGGCCUAUCAGCUUGUUGGUGGGGUGAUGGCCUACCAAGGCGACGACGGGUAGCCGGCCUGAGAGGGCGACCGGCCACACUGGGACUGAGACACGGCCCAGACUCCUACGGGAGGCAGCAGUGGGGAAUCUUGCGCAAUGGGCGAAAGCCUGACGCAGCGACGCCGCGUGAGGGAUGACGGCCUGG
rnacentral:rRNA from 1 species